CAGCAGCCGCCACGGUAAUACGUAGGGUGCAAGCGUUAAUCGGAAUUACUGGGCGUAAAGCGUGCGCAGGCGGUUUUGUAAGACAGGCGUGAAAUCCCCGGGCUCAACCUGGGAAUGGCGCUUGUGACUGCAAAGCUAGAGUGCGGCAGAGGGGGAUGGAAUUCCGCGUGUAGCAGUGAAAUGCGUAGAUAUGCGGAGGAACACCGAUGGCGAAGGCAAUCCCCUGGGCCUGCACUGACGCUCAUGCACGAAAGCGUGGGGAGCAAACAGGAUUAGAUACCCCCGUAGUCCCUGUCUCUUAUAC
rnacentral:rRNA from 1 species